rnacentral:rRNA from 1 species
AUUGAACGCUGGCGGCAGGCCUAACACAUGCAAGUCGAACGAGUGGCGGACGGGUGAGUAAUGUAUGGGAAACUGCCCGAUGGAGGGGGAUAACUACUGGAAACGGUAGAUAAUACCGCAUACCAUCGGAUGUGCCCAGAUGGGAUUAGCUAGUAGGGGGGGUAAAGGCUCACCUAGGCGACGAUCCCUAGCUGGUCUGAGAGGAUGACCAGCCACACUGGAACUGAGACACGGGCCAGACUCCUACGGGAGGCAGCAGUGGGGAAUAUUGCACAAUGGGCGCAAGACUGAUGCAGCCAUGCCGCGUGUAUGAAGAAGGCCUUCGGGUUGUAAAGUACUGUCAGCGGGGAGGCGUUACUCGCAGAAGAAGCACCGGCUAACUCCGUGCCAGCAGCAGCGGUAAUAC